CCUACCCAUACCACCUGCAUGGAGCUCCUUCCUGUUAGCUUUCUUACCUGUGUCCUCUAGCACCUCCCUGAGACCCCGAGCACAAUCGGGGUCAAGCUCCACAUUCUGUCUAAGGUUCCAUGACCUGCCCCACCCCUCCUUCUGUGGGGAGAUGUCAACAGUCCAAGGGCCCCACUGUGAUACUCUUACGAAGGGUGGCAGCUGCUCAGAGGAAUAGGCAUCCCACGGACCCUCCUCACCAGCACUCGGCUUCCGGCACUGCGCUAUUCUCUGGAAAGAUAACUACCCAUAGUCCUCUGGUGCGUCCUGAACACUCAGUUGGAGGAAGAUUCUGCCUGAGGAGGCAGUGCGAAGAGCCUGGGGUCUGAUGCCCCAGUGGGCGCGCCACGAAGCUUCACCCCAUCACAAGCUCAGAACAUCUUGAGCAAGUUGCCUCAGUUUCCCAUCUGGAGGGUGGGUCAGCAGCCUGAAGCUUAAGUCGCAAUGACCGUCAGCCAGUGAAGGUUUGCCAGGAGCCUCCUGACUGCUUCCCACACGGGCUUGAAAUGGAUGCUAAGGACGACAGACACCAUGCUCAGCCCCAAAUGGGACAUCUGCAUCACCCAGGAGUCACUGAACAAGAGAAGAUGAGAGGCCCAAGCGUCGAGGAACUCAGGCCAAUCCCCAGUGUAGAAAGCUGCACAGUCACGUUCAAAUGCCACUCCACCUGACUGGGAACCUGUUUCCUUCCCACCAUACCUGUCAAACAAGUGGACUCACUCGGAGCUCCAGUGCUGAGAGCAGGUGGGGCCCCCUCAAGGGAGCUUCUGCUGGCUCUGGCCACAGCCCACUGGAUGGACAGAUGGGUGAAUGGGCAGACAGAUGGACAUACGGACGGACAGAGGCCAGCUGCUUCACUCUGCUCUAAUCACCAGGCCCCUCGGCGGACUCGGUAAAUGCCCCGCUGCUGCUGAGCCGAAGGCUUUCAGGGCCUGCCUGUCACCGUGUUUUACAGCCCUCUUGUUGAAGAGCGGAAUCUGUAUUGAUUUCAGAACAACUCAAGCUGUAAAUUACUGGCCGCGAUCGGCUUGGUAACCCUGAGAUGAGAAUCUAUUGACUGGACCGGGGGCUUAAAUCUAAUUAUCGUCCCAGGAAAACCAUUGGCAGAGCUGCUCAAUGCCUGUGCGGAAGAGAACAGUUAAACAGCCCAGGGCUACGUGGGGGGUGGGGGUGGGGCAGAGAUCUAGAACGAUCCGGGGUCUCUGCGGAGCCUAAGAAACUGCCUUGGCCACCAAUCGAUUGACCUUGAGUCACUUCUGUAAUUACCAACGGCGAUGUUACUACGAUAGCGUGGUGCCCCAUGGCUCUGGGGCCUGGGCACCUCAUGCAGCCUGUUGUUCAGCUUCCUCAAACCAGUUUCUUCAUCUCUACAUAGAGGGAGCCUUGGUGCAUUUCUACCUGUACCUCAGGAAGGAGAGAAAACCGCCAGCCAUGGGAGCGGCUUCGCCCAAGGGCACACAGCUACCUCGGAAUGCAGACCUUAAACCGGUCCCUCACUGCUGGGUGGCUCAAUGGUUAGGGGUGCCUGCCUGCGUGCGGUUACCGGCACCCUGUGCGGUGGCUCACAGUCACCUGGACGUGAGGCGGCGUGCUGGCCUUGACAAGAACGUCAUCCAUGGGCUUCUAUAUCUGAACGCUGGGUAGCUCAGACUGGAGCUGUUUGAAAGGGUUAGAAGGGUUCGGGGGUGUUGCUGGUUGGAGGGAGUCUGUCACUGGGGUUAGGCUUUGAGGUUUUGAAGGGUGAAUGCCAAUCACAGGGUGUCUCUCUCUGACUACAGGUCAGGACGUAGCUCCCAGCCACUGCUCCGUUGCACCAUGGGCCCUGACAUGAUAGUAGCAGACUAAGCGUCCGAAACUGUAACACACACAUGUACACACACACAGACACACACACACCACACACACAGACAUACAGACACACAGACACACUCACGGGUUAAAUGGUUUACUUGAUAAGAGUUGCCGUGGUCAUGGCUUCCCCUCCAGGCAGUAGAACACUGGCUAAGACAUCUGUUGUGUGAAUGGCUGAACUUCACCCCAGAACUUGCACUGGAAGCCCCGGGCUGCCAGGCGUGUGUGCCUCUGUCAGGGCCCCGAAGAGAGGAACGACACCUGGGGAGACGGGGGCUUUUGCCUUCUGGGGCCGAUGAGGCAGUUUCCCCUCCUGUCUCAAGUGCCUCUCACCCCUCGGCAACACGGAAUCUAACGGUGGCCACCAUGGCUGCGUGGCGUCAGGUGCUCAAUGCUCAACUUCCAUUUCACAGAGACUGAAGAGAUGGUGGAUACGGUUUUUCUUGGCGGCAUGGCCGUCUUCCUUCACACAGUGCCCAAGUGUACGCCCUCACGGGUGUUUAAGUGGGGAGCAGGGGUUUCCAGCAGUCGAUCUGAUCCUUCCAGCCUGCCUACCUGCCUGGCACCGCUGACCCUGACUGGGCAGUCUCUGCCCAUCCUGGAAGCUGCAAAAGAUGUCUCCAUCUUCUUCUGCGAGCGGGUUGUUCCGUGCUUGCCUCCACCAUGAGUCUGGGAGCUUUAGGGCUCUGAGGAUGAAAUGGUCUCCGAGCCAUUUGCCGAACCGCGCAGCCCGAUUUGUUUUUGCCUCCUUCCCUUUAGUCGCAAGAGUAAGGCAGGUCGCCAGGCGUCACAAUUUUCUCUGCCCAUUGGCUGUCCCUUGGUCCAUCUCCCCGGGUUGCUUGGGUGAGCGGAAGCUGAGGCGGGACCGUAUUCUGCCGGUUUGUAUCAGCUCCGCUACUGUGGUAGCUCUUUGGUCGCUGUGCAUUUGGUCACUGAGGUAGGCAUAACUUGUGAGGCUGCCGCUUUAGUUCAUCAGGCUGUGUCAUGACACAAAGGCCCAGCCCAGGGGUUGCCUCCUGACCAGAACGCACCGUCUUGUGCAGGCUCCGCAGGGUCGUGGGAAGUGGAGGGUACACGGGCUUUGAAAUGAAUGGCAGUGGAGGUUUUGGUUUUGGCCCUGUGCUGGGGUGCGGGAUGCAAGUUCUGGUCCCAUCCACGGCAAGUCACCGUGGCUGAUCUUCCUUUGCUGGGCCACCUGAGCAUACGGUGUGUGUGAUUAUCGAUGCCCCGAACCCUGAGAGUUGUAAUGGUCUCACAUCUUGCUGAAGGCAGGGAUCCAUGAAGAGGAAAAGUUAAGAUUCAAACAGAGCCAAAGAUUAAGCUUUUGGGAAAUCUAGGUAAUGGAGAGAGAUGAAUCUUACUUGCACUGUGCACAAUGCCUCAGAGUUCUGACUGACUUGACAAGAAAUGAGGGUGCUAGGAAACUCGACAGAUUUGUACCCCUGAUGGGGCAUGGACUUGGGUUCAAUCACACACGCGCACACACACACACACACACACACACACACACACACACACACAAACACACACGCAUGCACGCAACCACGAGUGUGCACGCUACAUGUGAAGUUGCAGUGCAGUUACCAGAUAGCUUGCCUGAAGGAAUCUUCACAAAGGCCUGCCCAAGUUUGGAACAAUCAGCAGUCCCCCGUAGCAGCACUGCCAUCUCCUGCUGGGGCGUGACCACCAGCUACCACUUAGCAGAGCUUGCUGUGUGACCUACAGGCCACAUUGGCCUUGCGGUCACCAUGGUGAAAUAAACAGACGGUACCUCCCUGUCCACGGUGAUGGUGGGAAGUGAGUGUCCCUGUAGAAGAGGGGAGACCUCGGGUGAGAUCCCAGCUAUCCACUCCCCACUGUCCCCAGCUACGUGUGGUCCUGGGGUUUGAGAGAGUCUAGGGAGCAGACAUUGAAGGAUGGGACUCCGUUUGUCUGCGAGCUUGCUGCUCAAGUUGGGGUGGGACACUUAGGUGAUGGACCUCACCCAGGUCCACCAAGCCGGCUUCUGGUGGCAUCACUGGAUGGCUGGUGUCUGAUCUGGGCAUGCCACCAAGUUUUAACGUGUAUAGUUGCAGAGCGGUGGCCAGUUUUCCCUUCUUCCUGGUUAAGGAAGAGCACGCAUGUAUCCUGCGUGGGGCAGGCAAAGUGGCCUGGGUGUUUGCAGUCUUUUUGUGAAGGAGUUGCAAGGGGGAGCAGACUGUGCACGAAUCCCAACACCGGUUGCCACCGGUUAACAAGAUGGAAUCUCCUACAGUUUGGAAUGUUGUUUCUCUGGCCCCCUAAAUCCCCUGUGGCCAUGAUCCCUUCUCUAAUUCCCGGUACUCGCUUUCAAACCGAACACUAUGAUUUCAGUUCGUGUAUAUCUCCCAGUGUAGUCGACAAGGCUGUGGCACUUCUGAAGCCCAGCUGCCCACACCCCAGGAGUGCGUCACCAUACCUGGCUAAACGCUUUGCUACCGACAACAAAAACAUUCCCGCCAACAUGGCUACCUACACGUGUGCUAGCAAGGUCGGCGAUGGUCACACUAAGGUGGCUGGAAUACAGGCAUUGUGAGGACUGCCGCCAACCUGCUUGGGUCCCGUGGUCUCAGGGGGGACAGCCUUAUAGGACAAUUCUACCUCACGUUCUCGGAGCGUGCUCAGCAUGGACUAGCAGCUCAGUAAACAACCACAUAGCUAGGCCACAGGAUAACUGGGCAUCACAGGCAUUUGGAGUCCCAUAAAACCUUACGACUGAUCACCCUGUGUACGUGUGGGUCAUAACUUCCCACUUUUUUCAAAAUAAGCAUCUGUGUAAGUGUAUGUGGGUGUGGGUGUGUGUGCGCACACAUGUGUGCGAGCAUGCAUGUGAGCAUGCAUGUGUGUGUCCACACUCGAGUGCACACAUGCUUGUGAGUGCGUGAGAGCACGUGUGUGCACACGAAUGUGUGAUGUUGCAUGAGUCCAGGCAUGCAUAUGCCACACAGCACAUGUGGAGGUCAGAGGACGAUCUUGGGUGUAAGUCGGUGCUGCUCUCUCUUUGGAGGCCCCAGUGUCUCUUUUGCCACCUUGUAUGCCAGGCUAGCUGGCUAUCCAAGAAGUCUGAGAGCUGGGAUUGCACACGCUCAGGAGUGCACACACUGGCUUUGGGGAGCGGGGUUCCUGCAGGGUUGAGCAGGGAACCUCACACUUGUUGAACAAGAGAGGACUUUUACCCAAGUAGUGUUAAUGUUACCCAAGUAGUGUUUGUGUUUACACACCCGGUGGAAAGUUAAUCCCUGGGGCCUAUGGGAGCUGUCAGAGCCAGUUAGUGGAAUAGCCUUGAGCAUCCUGAGAGCUGGCCUCGGAGUUACUGUGCCACCUCGACGUGAGAACCCAUAGAACAGGCUCCUUCUUGGACAGGGGGUGGGAGUGGGCUUACCAGAACCCGCCCAUUCUUUCCACCUUGAGUUUCUAGGAACCAGGAAGCACAGUGUCAUGACCGGGUACAGGGUGACAUCUAGUGGUCAGAAGGGGAAGUGGAUGUCCUUUUUAAGGCUUGGAUGCUGGUGUGAAGCCAUGGAGAGGGGCCAUGGAGGCAGCUCUGGCUCAGCAGGUAAAGCGCCUGCUGUGUGAGUGCAGAGAGCUGAGUCUGGCUCUCCAGAGUCCGUGGAAUAGCUGGGUGUGGCAGCGCGUAUGUGUAACUAGCUCUAAACACGUGUGCAUGGAAGCGAUACUGCGUGGACUCAGCAGGUGUGUGCAUGAAUGUGUGUCAAUUAAAAAAAAAAGAGGCCAUGAAUUCGAGGCGUGGAGGGAACAUGAGGAAGGGGGAGAGGUGGAAAUGAUGUAAAUACACGAAAUUCUCAAACAUUUUUAUUAAAAAACCUUUUGGGGAAACCAGACAUGCACUAGACAUUAAAUAAACUGGGUGAGACUGUGUCUAGAACAUUGGAUAAGGAAUGUUUCAGGACUAAGAUUUCCACUCUUGUAUUUUCCACUCCCUUUGUAUUCUGACCUCCAUGGGUGUCUCAGAGCCAGUGCUUUUCCAAAGUGACUUUUGGAUCUUCGAGGUCACCUUCUGGGUCUCUGCAUCUUUUCUUUCAUCUUAAAGGAGAGGGAAGCACACCUUAGCGGGGAGUUCUUGACAGCCAUUGCGAGAAGCCAUAUGCCACACAGAUAUUUGGAAAGAUGGCUAAGCUCACGGGUCCACAUCUUCAGCUUCUGUGGUCCCAGAGAAGGCAGCAGAGCACGUGGGUGACAGACAAGAAGCCGCAAAGGACAAACGGCGACCUGGAAUCAUCCACCCACACAGGAUGGAUGUAUGACAGCCACAGCAUAAGACUGGUGGGCUGCAGCACAGAUGGUUCCACCCCGAGGGCCUCUGCAGCUGGGUUCCAAUUUUGUGUGUGCGCGUGUGCACUCGAGCGAGAGCAUUAGGUUUUUCUAUUUGAAUAUAUAUUUCACGCAAAUACAUUUGCUCUCUCAUACAUAGUUAAUAUAGUCGCUUACCACCAACUGCUAGCAGAACCUUUUUGUAGCGUAAACACAUCUGAGGACAACUUUUCAACUCUUCGAACAGGUAGAACUUCAUGGAUCGCACGGUUGUCCCCUUAGUCACCUGCCUUCACGCCCUUGACUCAGUCCCCACGCCGGGUCUCUACUGGACAUAACUACCAGGAUGGGUCACUCAAGACAUCAUCAGAGGAGCCUCUUUGUAUGGCCAACUGGUGCAGAAGAUUUCAUCAGGAGACAGUGGAGCCGGGGGAGCGGAGCUGAGCAGAUAGGCUACAACAGUUGGUAUAUAGUUUGGAGCUGCUGGUAUUGGGAAAACUGGGUGAAGGGACUAUAAAAGCACACUGUUGGGGAAUGGCUGGAAGAAACGUCUGAAGAAGGGUUUGGCUGGAAACCAAACCCGGAUCACUGGCAAGGAGUCAAGAGAACUGGUUACUAUUCUAACAUAGGCAGGAAAAGGAGAGAUGGAUACUUUGUUUCAAAAAGCCCAAAGCCUUUGCUGAAGGCUGGGAUUGGGACACGCCCCAAGUGGUUUUCAGCAGCAUUUUUCCCCUCCUUUUCCUCAUUCUGGGCUAUUUUGUUUAUAAAAAGGCUGAAAGAGUGGCUGACAACUGGAAAAAACAGGUGAAAAUGGAGAAGGUUGGGAAUCAAAUCUGGAAGGAAAUGGAAGGAAAGUAAGAGGGUCGGUUCCUCUCCUUUCUGAAAAAGCAACAACCAUUGGUUGUGCAGCUAGAGAAACCGAAAGUAGAGGUAGACAAACUUGGAGAACAAACAGGUUAAUUCCCAGGGAUGGAACCAGAGAGAUGGAGUCCCCACCUCCCCACCCCCACCCCACCCCACCCCCAGGUGAAAGAGGGCAAGGAACUGUGUCAGAGGGCAGCCUAGUCGAAGAAAUGGAAAAGCAAGAGUAUGGUCAGGUGAGACAGCCUUUUUCAGGAGACAGGGUUAAAUCCACAGCACGCCUGGAGGACAGGCAGCCCCAGGGUCACGAAAAUCACCUACAGCAUUCCCUGCAGUUGCACCUCGCAUGCCUGCCGACGGGGAUGAUCCACACGGCUAUGACAAGAUAGGGCAGCAUCCUGUAGAAAUGGCGGACCCAAGGUGCUUUAAAGAGGCAAUGAUGUCUCACUUGCCCAGUGUGAAACAAACUCUAAAUAAGGAGGCUUCUCAAAAUAGAAUUAUUCCCCAAUGCUGGGGGUGGGGGUGGAUUGGAAACAGCUGUACUAAGAGGCCAAUCCUCAAUGACAAUUGUCAUGUUGGAGAGAAGCAGCCAGCAAUUUGUAAGAGCACAAAAGAGAGAGGGCAAGCAAUAAAACGAGGGGUCAGUUGAUAGCUGAAGGUCGGUAGGCUGUCGUGUAAGAAGGGGGUUCCGUUUGAAGAGGCAAUCAUAGAACAACAACAUCGUUCAGCACCUUUAAGGAGAGCUUGGGACAGACUUGAGGAGAAGUCCGCACCAUCUACAAAAAUUAUACAAGGCUCGGUAAGUUUUCACUGACUUUUUUUUUUUUUUUUUUUUUUUUACAAAAAUUAGGCUCAGCUGCAAACAAAGCCACAUCAGACCCUGAUCUGAGACUAGUGCCUCGGUAUUUGAAAAUGCAAAUAUGGAAUGGGAAAAAAGUUACUAGUCUAUUAAGGGGGGAAGGUAGCCCCUAUGGAAGAGUGGAUCGGGGAGACGACAGAUAGGGGUUCUAGCACACACUAUGCUGUUGAUAACUGGGCAAACCAUAACUAAAGGCUCUAGACAUCAAAAUGCAGAGUGCUUUAGCCGCAGGGUAUAUAUGGCAGCGUGCAACAAAAUUGUGUACAAGGACAACAUUUUCUCUAAAUCGGAAUCAUAAAGAAGGCCAAGGCUCCCGUGGGUGAGCCGGCAACGUGGCAGGGGUUACCAUUGGACCAAUGAGUGUAGGUCCAAGAGAGAUCCAAGGCAAUCUCUUGCCAUUUGGGAAACAAGAUGGGGGCCUAGCUUGAGGCCCCACAGCCAAAGUACAAGCCGUUUGCCCCGUGUCAGCCAGAAAAUAACAAGCAAGCAGAAAAGGCUCAACUAAGAAGCGUCGCACAUCUACUAGGCAGUCCUGCUCUCAACUUGGCCACAGAGAAACGUCUUACACUAUCUCCUGAAAUGCAGCUUUGUAGAAUAACUGUUGGAGUUUAUGUGGGGAUGACCUUGGGGAGGAGAAGUUCGACUUCCCAAGGAUCCAUUGUUAAGCCAGGAAUAAUGGAAGAAGAUCUGAAGGGGGGGAUGAAAAUAAUGGCUUACUUAAAAAAAAACCAAAAAAAAAAAAAACCAAAACAAACAAACAAACAACCAAAACACUGCAUUUGAACACAGGUGAUGGGAUCUCUCAGCUCUUACCAUUCAUUUUCCUCCAUCAAAGGCUGAGCUGAGCUGCCUCCAUAGAACCAUCAGGAAGGUAUGUGGAAGUCCUGGAAAACGUGCAUUCCAGCAAACAGUUGUUAAUGAUCAGAGGCCAAAAUUAAAGUUGCCAGUGAAUGACAUUGAAAUAGAGUUUGGCGGAUGCAGGAGCUGUCGUGACUAUCACUCCACAAACACCUCAGUAUUCAGAGCAGGUGCUUCAGAAGGUUUAUACCCAGUUUCUAGGAGUUGGAAAUCUCAGAUAAAAUGGGAUGCGUGGUGGGUUCCACAUUGAUAACUGUAUUUCAGGGUCAGCGUGGGACCAGAAGGUCAACUGGGAAAGUUAUAGGACCUUCUGGCCUGAAAUAGCCAUACAUUUAUGGAAACGGGAUUGAUUUAAAAAGUAAAGGCCCUUUGAGGCUGAGAAAGAAGGGAUUGGGCCAGCAGAAGAGAAGAGAAAGCAUCUGGGGCAAAAGAUGUUGUUAGGAGAGAGUGGAGCUGGGAGAAUCACAGCUGAGGAGGGUGCAAUGGUUGGUAUAGCCUUGGAGCUGCUGUUAGUGGGAAAAUGGGGAGAAGGGACCAUUUAAGCAGACCGUUGGGAAACCGAGGGAGGAACACCUGGGAGAAAGCUCUGGAGAAGGGCCUGGGCUGCAAACCGGGAGGAGGGCAGACAACGAGGUAAGAGAACCGGUUGCCGUUCGCACACAGCUAGGCCUUUUGCCAUGCAUGGUGACUAACGUUAUUGAUCAGAGCAGCAGCCAGUGGAGGGCUGGCUCACACUCACAUGCACACACUUGUUACAUUCCCUCCCAGGCAGCUGAGGUUCAGACAGUGUUGUAGAGCGGAGGGCAAGGGGGAGAGGGGAAGACACUGUAAGGACAGAAGGGUGGGGAGGAUUGCAGCAGAGGAAACCACUGCACCAUCGGAACCCAAAACAGCCUCAGUUGCCGCCACAAGCUAAAGCCAUCUGGUGUGGAGUGGCUCUCAAGCCCCCACCAGGCAGAGAAGCCAUAGGGUGCAAUCUCCGGCCCGUCAACUGUGAGCCAAUGGAUGAUCUCACACACGAGUAUAAGGGCAGCUGGAUCCUGUCAGCUGGGCAUGGUGGCAGCAUCUUUAAUUCCAGCACUCGCAAAGCAGAGGCAGGUGGAUCUCUCAGUUCAAAGCUAGCCCAGUCUAUACAUAGCAUGUUCCAGGACAGCCAAGACAACAUCAUAGAGACCCUGUCUCAAAACAGAAAGAGAGAAAGAGAGAGAGAGAGAGAGAAAGAGGGACACAGAGAUGACAGAGGACAGCUCUGGGAAGUCAGUGGGAGGUGUGGGUCGAAUAUGUUCACAUACAGUUUCCUGAAGGAUUCAUAAAAUGUAUUAAUACUGCACUAUACUUCAUAGUUGAAACAAGCAAUCCGCUAUGCACUUAGCAUCACCUUAGCCUUUCAGCACUGUUAGAGCUUCAUCCAUGACUGAAGCCAUGACAGCAGGCUCCCUCCCCAACAGAUGCCUAAGCAGAGCAGGGUGCCUGCUUCUUAGAGCGUCAGUCUGAAGUGGAUACAAAUAACUUCAGGACAUAAAGUAAAAAGUCAUGAAAAGGCACCAGAUAUUGCCAUUGGUGGAGCCAUGACAUUGAUAUCAUGUUGCUGUCUCAUGAUACAAAGGAAGGCCCUGAAAUAAUAGUUAUCGGUGUGCAAGUUUGUUCCACUGAUAGACUGCUACAUCAAUGAAAAACCAUUCCAAAGGGGAAGGCCCAUGUUUAAGCUCUGGGACAGCACCUCACGUGAUGUCCUCAGAACUAUCUUCUUCCCCUGGUUUUUUUUAGCCCAUCCUGUCCCACUGUGACACAACCCAGAGGCUGGAGAAUUUAUGUGAAAAACACUUACUAUCUCUAGAAUCUGGAACGUCUGACAUCGAGGGUGCAGUGGUAACCAGUCUGGCCCAGACUAUCAUCCCAUAGCGCCUCCAGGUGAGAGAGAGCAGGCUCACUCUACCUCACAUCAACCCACCGCCACAGCAUCCCUUUGUGACAGCCGCACUGUCAGAGAGAACUCCCCGGAAACACCCCACGUCUCGGCCUAAUGAGGUACUGCAAAUUACAAUCCCAACCCACACGCCUUGGGGAACUCCACUCACCCACAGCCACCUCGAAGAGGCAGCCACCCUGUCAGAGCGAGCCGGGAAGCCUCCCUGUGCAACGGUUCUAGUUUCAGACCAAUGUCGGGAGCCAGCGGGUAAGUCUUACACCCAGUAGCAGAGUUCCCGGACAGGGUCCCUGGUUCCACGUCCUGCAGUAACCUGUCCCAAGAGGCAUCCGUGAGAGGAUACCCACAACUAAGGGCAGCAUGCAUGGGUGUGUGCCCGGUGGUCAUGUGAGGCUCUCAACAGAGUUCAAAAAUUAUACCGUAAGUGCUGAUGGUGGUUUCUGCUCCGGCAUCUCCCCCCAGGUCUUCCCUGCCUCCCUGACUCUUCCAACACCAGGCCCCCUUUCUCUUUCUUUUCACAAAGAGGCAAGUACAAAUGAAAAGCAAACAAACAUAAAAAGGCAACAAGAAAACAUGAUAGGCAAACAAGACUAGUAACACAGAGAGAGGAAGAGAACAGGAGAGAGAGAAAAAGAGGGGGAUGGAGGGGAGAGGGAGGGGGAAAGGAGAGGGAGGUGAGAGGAGGAGGGAGGGGGGAGGGAGAGGAGGGGAGAGGGAGGGGGAGGGAGAGAGAGAGAACACAACACAAAUCUCAAGCCAAGAAACAUGAGACAAAAAAAUCUACAAGGAUGCCAUUGAGUUCCUUUUCUGGUGGCCAUAUGGUGCUAGGCAUUGGACCAAUCCUUAAAUGUAGUUUAUAUACCCAGAGAGACUGGAGGAAACUCAUUUCUCCACUCAGACCCCCUUUUUUUGUAAUUUGGUAAGGGAUUGGGGGAGCUCAUGUCCAAUUCCCCCAGCAGGUGCUGCAAGCAUGUCUGCUUUGACCCUGUGCACCAGAAAACCUGAGUAAAUGGUGGUUAUUCUGGAGCAUGAGAAGGCGGCAUUGAGUAUCGGCCUCCGCCUCCUGUUCCUGAAGUGAGCGAGAGCUCACAGAAUCACGCCAGUGCACACAGAGUCCAACUCUCAAACCCGAGAGGCCAGAGAGACCCCAGGGGUUGACUGGAGGAUCCUCUUGUGUGGAAUGGAUAUUUGAAGUAUAGGUACGGGGAUUUAUUGGAAACAGCAUAAGGCACUCAGUGACCCAGGCAGGGCACAGCCAAGACUCGGAUGAGCCUCAUCGGCCAUGUGCCAGCCUGGGCUUUGUGAGCACGCAGACAGCUGCAGAGAGAGCUGGGCAGAGAGAAGGGGUUGCAGAAGGGGUAUCUUAGAAUGAUGUGUGUGCUCCAUUAACUCUUCAUGCCCCAGAAGAAUGUGAAGUGGAGAUUUGAAGCUCACUUCUUCCCACCGGGGGGGGGGGGGGCAUCGGCUGAGAGCUGAGAGCAGCAUGUACUUAUUCCCAGAACAGCCUGAGCACAGCGGCGCGCUCGGUGGACAACGACUGGGUGCGCGGUGCUCCUCUGUCUAGGAGGUAACGGAACUAGAGCCUCCACAGAGCUGUGUGGAGCGUGAGGCUUUAUUGCCUUAGGUCAGACACCCAGGCAGGGAUGGGCAGACUCACAGGGUUAGUGUUUCCUCCUCAGCCCGCCCUGGUCCACAGUUCAGCUGCCUCAGAGUCUCUGAGUGGUGUCCACUGUCUUGGUCUCCAUGCCCCGCCCCCACCCCUGCAGAGGCUUCUCAGGGUGAGGGCAGGAGGACACCC